GACGUAGGAGGCGAGCGUUAUCCGGAUUCACUGGGCGUAAAGCGCAUGUAGGCGGAUGUCUAAGUCAUGUGUUAAAGCCCCUGGCUCAACUGGGGGAGGUCAUGCGAGACUGGAUGACUUGAGGGCAACAGAGGCACGUGGAACUCCCGGUGUAGCGGUGGAAUGCGUAGAGAUCGGGAAGAACACCCGUGGCGAAGGCGGCGUGCUGGGUUGCAACUGACGCUGAGAUGCGAAAGUGUGGGGAGCAAACGGG
rnacentral:rRNA from 1 species